GACGAACGCUGGCGGCGUGCUUAACACAUGCAAGUCGAACGAAGUGGCGAACGGGUGAGUAACGCUUAAUCAACCUGCCCUUCAGAGGGGUACAACAGUUGGAAACGACUGCUAAUACCGCCUACUGACGGCGGGGCUUGCGUCUGAUUAGCUAUUUGGAGGGGUAACGGCCCACCAAGGCGAUGAUCAGUAGCCGGUCCGGGAGGAUGAACCGCGACAUUGGGACUGGGACCCGGCUCAGACUCCUACGGGAGGCAGCAGUGGGGAAUAUUCCGCAAUGGAAGAAAGUGUGACGGAGCAACGCGGCGUGAGUGAUGACGGCCUUCGGGUUGUAAAGCUCUGUUAAUCGGGACGCGGUACCGGAAUAGAAAGCCACGGCUAACUACGUGCCAGCAGCCGCGGUAAUUC
rnacentral:rRNA from 1 species